UCAAGCGACUAAGUGCAUAUGGUGGAUGCCUUGGCGAUCACAGGCGAUGAAGGACGUAGUAGCCUGCGAAAAGCUACGGGGAGCUGGCAAACAAGCUUUGAUCCGUAGAUGUCCGAAUGGGGAAACCCACUGCAGCAAUGCAGUAUCCCUAGCUGAAUACAUAGGCUAGUGAAGCGAACCGGGUGAACUGAAACAUCUCAGUAGCUCGAGGAAAAGAAAUCAACCGAGAUUCCGAAAGUAGUGGCGAGCGAAAUCGGAAGAGCCUUUACGUUUUAGCAUGCAAGAUAAUCGAAGGGGAUGGAAAGCCCCGCCGUAGCAGGUGAUAGCCCUGUAGAUGAAAUUUUGUGUGUGGAACUAAGCGUAAGAAAAGUAGGGCGGGACACGUGAAAUCCUGUUUGAAGAUGGGGGGACCAUCCUCCAAGGCUAAAUACUCGUGAUCGACCGAUAGUGAACCAGUACCGUGAGGGAAAGGCGAAAAGAACCCCGGGAGGGGAGUGAAAUAGAUCCUGAAACCGUAUGCAUACAAACAGUAGGAGCCUCCUUGUGGGGUGACUGCGUACCUUUUGUAUAAUGGGUCAGCGACUUACAUUCAGUGGCAAGGUUAACCGAAUAGGGAAGCCGUAGCGAAAGCGAGUCCGAAUAGGGCGUUCAGUCGCUGGGUGUAGACCCGAAACCAGAUGAUCUAUCCAUGGCCAGGUUGAAGGCACGGUAACACGUGCUGGAGGACCGAACCCACUAAUGUUGAAAAAUUAGGGGAUGAGCUGUGGAUAGGGGUGAAAGGCUAAACAAAUCUGGAAAUAGCUGGUUCUCUCCGAAAACUAUUUAGGUAGUGCCUCAAGUAUUACUGCGGGGGGUAGAGCACUGUUAUAGCUAGGGGGUCAUGGCGACUUACCAAACUAUGGCAAACUCCGAAUACCCGCAAGUACAGCUUGGGAGACAGAGCACCGGGUGCUAACGUCCGGACUCAAGAGGGAAACAACCCAGACCGCCAGCUAAGGUCCCGAAUUAUCGCUAAGUGGGAAACGAAGUGGGAAGGCAUAGACAGUCAGGAGGUUGGCUUAGAAGCAGCCAUCCUUUAAAGAAAGCGUAAUAGCUCACUGAUCGAGUCGUCCUGCGCGGAAGAUGUAACGGGGCUAAGCGAUAAACCGAAGCUGCGGGUGUGCACUUUUAGUGCACGCGGUAGGAGAGCGUUCUGUAAGCCUGCGAAGGUGGCUUGUAAAGGCUGCUGGAGGUAUCAGAAGUGCGAAUGCUGACAUGAGUAGCGAUAAAGGGGGUGAAAAGCCCCCUCGCCGUAAGUCCAAGGUUUCCUGCGCAACGUUCAUCGGCGCAGGGUGAGUCGGCCCCUAAGGCGAGGCAGAGAUGCGUAGCUGAUGGGAAACUGGUUAAUAUUCCAGUACCGUCGUACAGUGCGAUGGGGGGACGGAUCGCGGAAGAUCAUCAGGGUGUUGGAUGUCCCUGUUGCUGUAUCGAAGAUGGCGCUUAGGCAAAUCCGGGCGCGUAAAUCAAGGGUAUGGCACGAGCGAGCAUUGCUUGCGAAGUGAUUGGAAGUGGUUCCAAGAAAAGCCUCUAAGCUUCAGCUGUACGAGACCGUACCGCAAACCGACACAGGUGGACGGGAUGAAUAUUCCAAGGCGCUUGAGAGAACUCAGGAGAAGGAACUCGGCAAAUUGAUACCGUAACUUCGGGAGAAGGUAUACCCCGGUAGUGUGAAGCGCCUGCGCGCUUAGCAUGAUGGGGUCGCAGAGAAUCGGUGGCUGCGACUGUUUAUUAAAAACACAGCACUCUGCAAAGACGAAAGUCGACGUAUAGGGUGUGACGCCUGCCCGGUGCCGGAAGGUUAAGUGAUGGGGUCAGCGCAAGCGAAGCUCUUGAUCGAAGCCCCGGUAAACGGCGGCCGUAACUAUAACGGUCCUAAGGUAGCGAAAUUCCUUGUCGGGUAAGUUCCGACCUGCACGAAUGGCGUAACGAUGGCCACACUGUCUCCUCCUGAGACUCAGCGAAGUUGAAGUGUUUGUGAUGAUGCAAUCUACCCGCGGCUAGACGGAAAGACCCCAUGAACCUUUACUGUAGCUUUGCAUUGGACUGUGAACCGGCCUGUGUAGGAUAGGUGGGAGGCUUUGAAGCGUGGUCGCUAGUCUACGUGGAGCCAUCCUUGAAAUACCACCCUGGUUAAUGUUUGCGGUUCUAACCUUGGUCCGUUAUCCGGAUCGGGGACAGUGCAUGGUGGGCAGUUUGACUGGGGCGGUCUCCUCCCAAAGUGUAACGGAGGAGUUCGAAGGUACGCUAGGUACGGUCGGAAAUCGUGCUGAUAGUGCAAUGGCAUAAGCGUGCUUGACUGUGAGACUGACAAGUCGAACAGGUGCGAAAGCAGGACAUAGUGAUCCGGUGGUUCUGAAU
rnacentral:rRNA from 1 species